rnacentral:rRNA from 1 species
GUCCUACGGGGCGCAGCAGUGAGGAAUAUUGGUCAAUGGGCGCGAGCCUGAACCAGCCAAGUCGCGUGAGGGAUGACGGCCCUACGGGUUGUAAACCUCUUUUGUCGGGGAGCAAAUUCCGUUACGUGUAACGGAGUCGAGAGUACCCGAAGAAAAAGCAUCGGCUAACUCCGUGCCAGCAGCCGCGGUAAUACGGAGGAUGCGAGCGUUAUCCGGAUUUAUUGGGUUUAAAGGGAGCGUAGGCCGGCUUUUAAGUCAGCUGUGAAAGUCCGCGGCUCAACCGUGGAAUUGCAGUUGAAACUGGG